rnacentral:piRNA from 1 species
GAUGCACGUGCCAGCAGGGCUGCCCCAU